AGAACGGUCGCCGCGUCGCCUCAGCACGGACCUCCAGGGAGCUCCUCAGCAAGAUCCUGCCAGGGCGCCCCUCAGCGCGAUUCUGCCGGGGUGCCUCUCAGCGUGGUCCUCCCCGGGGCUCCUCAGCACGAUUCUCCCGGUGCGCCCCUCAGCGCGGUCCUCCUCGGUGCGUCAGUCAUCGUGGUUCUCCCCGGCGCGCCCCUCGGCGCGGUUCUCCUCGGGGCUCCUCAGCGCGGCGCUCUUCUGGGGGCUCCUCGGCGCAGUUCUCCCCGGGGACUCCUCGGCGCCGUUCUCCUCGGGGCACCCGGGGCUUUUCGGCGCGGUUCUCCCCGGGGGUUCUUCGGCGCGGUUGUCCCCGGGGGUUCUUCGGCGCGGUUCUCUCCGGGGGCCUCUCGCCGCGGUUCUGUUCUCCCCGGGGGCUCCUCAGCAUGGUUCUCCUCCGCGCGGUCCUCCCUGGGCCUCCUCAGCGCGGCACUCUCCUGGGGGCUCCUCAGCGCGGCACUCUCCCCGGGGGCUCCUCAGCGCGGCACUCUCCCGGCGGCUCCUCAGUGCGGUUCUCCCAGACUCUCCUCAGCGCGGCCCUCCCCAUCUCUCUGGGAGGGUUUGAACACGGUCAGCACGGACCUGGGCGGACGGCGCGGGACGGGUGAUCACUGGCGUUGCUGAGGAAAUGUGCUCACCCAUGAGACAGGGAUGGCAAGAAGAUAUGAAUGAAAAGCAACCAGUCCGUAAAAUUGGAAGCCAUUUCACUCCUUACCAGGUACAAAGAUAACAUGCUGCAUGGAUCAGGGACACAAACUUACCUACCUUAUGAUGUAGUGAAAGAAUCUAAAACUUUUGUCUCAGCAGACUCCCUGGAGGAAGCCAAUAACAGGAGGCCUUGACUAGGAGACCUCAAGCCUUGGAAUGUGCCCAGACCAGUGGGGAGGGAAGGCUGGGAGGCAGUCCUCCCUUACCCCUUUUCUCCCAGGCAGACCUACCCUGGGUUCUCUCCAGGCCCCUCCGCCUGAGCAAGUGCUCAGUUGGCCACUAGCUCCCUGCACAUCCAACAAGCCUUUCUUUCCUGUUCCUUCUUCAAGGAAGGCUUAGCCUCAAAUCCAGGGCCACAGACAAAGGACAGUCACUCUCCUCUGCCAGAAAGUCAUUUAUGGGACAUGGAGAAAGCAUCAAAUAUAUUGCUUUUCCAACACCUAACAGUGGAAUAGGAGGAAUAGAAGGAGAACUCAGCCAGAAAGUUCUGGAGCAUAGUCUUUUUGCCAAAAGAACACGUUUUCAAAUGAAAGAGGUGGUGCUGGGGCACUGAGGAAUCAGGGGGAUGGACCCCACUGGAGCUUGUCUCAUGCUGGCAGCAAGUCCCAGGCCUCAAACACAUACCUGGGCCACCUCAGGAGAGAGACUGCAGGGAAGAAAUGAGUUGCAAUGCUCCAGCCUAACCAACUCCCCUUUUGUUAAUCCAAUCCCAGAAGGUACUGGGUAGGGUCAGUUAACAGACAGCUGCCUGUCUCCUGGCAGAGUCUGACCAAGCCCCAGUGGGCGCUUCUCUUCCUAAGUCCUCUGGUGUACCCCAUUCUUCAAGGGAAACGGUCCCCUUAAGAAUCUAUGUGAAAGGGUUCUGAAAUUGCUGUACCAGUUAAUGAAUUAUUUACUCUAAACAAUGUCUUGAUAAAGGGGGAGGAUGAAGUUAGCUGAUGUUGACUAAGGAGAGACGGAGUUGCCAAGGAAAUUCUUCUAAAUGAAAAAAAAA
ensembl:lncRNA KCNQ1OT1 KCNQ1 opposite strand/antisense transcript 1